GGGGGUAUAGCUCAGUGGUAAAGUGCGUGUUUUGCAUGUGCGAGGUGCUGGGUUCAAUAUCCAGUACCUCCA
rnacentral:tRNA from 1 species